rnacentral:lncRNA from 1 species
AAGAAAGGAUCAUUUUGAGAAUCUUCGUUUCAUAUCAAGACAACACACUCUUCUGAAUCUAGAAACAGAAAUACCUUUACAUUUACUUACAGCCCUUAUCUCAGCACUUUCAUGCAUCUUAUGAGAAGCAACACGCAUGAUAAUUAAGCAUUUCUAUGCAUGCAGAGCUUUGGUUAGCUUGGUAAAGGGUAUGUUCAGCAAUUCUGGUCCCUGCCCUCCAGAAAAACUUGCUUAAGAUGCACCAAUAUGCAUUAUUAAAUAUAAUAACACAUCAAGUAAAAACUAUGCCUAACACUCGCAGGCUAUCAUACAGACUUAGAAUUAUUGAGAUGAUUUUUCAGAUGGUAACAUUUAAUCACAGAGAAGCUGAAUAAUUUGCCGAAGUUUACUUUAAAAAAAAUCAGAGCUACGAUACCAAUGUUCAGUACCUUUCUUUCUUAGUAUAAUCCCCUACUUUCAAAAUAACCUUUAUAGAUAUUUCUAGUAUCUACGCUAAGAAAAAGAGUAAUGGUGAAAGACUGAGAGAAGACACUGCUUUUUAAAGGCUAUAGAAAUCUGGUACAUGGCUUCUUUGAAGAAAAAAAAUUAAAUGGAAGGAAAAUUGGCUGCUCAUUUUCUGAGGGUGCAAUUUUAUAUAGAAGAUAUUUCACUGUGGUCUGUAUUUAACAAGCUGCGGGGACCCUAAGGCUGGUAGAUGGUCAGACUGGUAACAUUUUCUAAUGUGACUCUGAUAAUUUUGACAUAGGCUUUCUUUUUGGCUGCCCUAAGUAUUUAUCCUUUUCACCUGAUUUACUUUACAUUCGCCUAUUUUACCAUGGGUUACAGACAAGAACAAAUUGGACUCUUAAAAUGGCAUAUAAUUUUAAUAUUUUCUGAGUUUCUAGUAUUCUAAAUUCAUAAUUAUAACCUGAGGGAUGUAUGCCCACAGGGCAUAAAACAAUCACAUAGAUAGUGAGUUUUUUUUUUUUUUUUUUGAAAUUACCUUGGCUACUUGAGGAUUCUCUACACCCCUGCUAUCCAGCAUGGGGGCCACCAGCCACAUGGGUCAGAGUGUUUUUUGUUUGUUUGUUUUU